GAGUUUGAUCCUGGCUCAGGAUGAACGCUAGCGGCAGGCUUAACACAUGCAAGUCGAGGGGCAGCAUAAAAGUAGCAAUACUUUGGUGGCGACCGGCGCACGGGUGAGUAACGCGUAUGCAACCUACCUAUCAGAGGGGAAUAACCCGGCGAAAGUCGGACUAAUACCGCAUAAAACAGGGGCACCGCAUGGUGAUAUUUGUUAAAGAAAUUCGCUGAUAGAUGGGCAUGCGUUCCAUUAGGUAGUUGGUGAGGUAACGGCUCACCAAGCCGACGAUGGAUAGGGGAACUGAGAGGUUGGUCCCCCACACUGGUACUGAGACACGGACCAGACUCCUACGGGAGGCAGCAGUGAGGAAUAUUGGUCAAUGGGCGGGAGCCUGAACCAGCCAAGUCGCGUGAAGGAAGAAGGAUCUAUGGUUCGUAAACUUCUUUUGCAGGGGAAUAAAGUGCAGGACGUGUCCUGUUUUGUAUGUACCCUGAGAAUAAGGAUCGGCUAACUCCGUGCCAGCAGCCGCGGUAAUACGGAGGAUCCGAGCGUUAUCCGGAUUUAUUGGGUUUAAAGGGUGCGUAGGUGGUUUGAUAAGUCAGCGGUGAAAGUUUGCAGCUUAACUGUAAAAAUGCCGUUGAAACUGUCGGACUUGAGUGUAAAUGAGGUAGGCGGAAUGCGUGGUGUAGCGGUGAAAUGCAUAGAUAUCACGCAGAACUCCGAUUGCGAAGGCAGCUUACUAAGCUACAACUGACACUGAAGCACGAAAGCGUGGGGAUCAAACAGGAUUAGAUACCCUGGUAGUCCACGCAGUAAACGAUGAUUACUAGCUGUUUGCGAUACACAGUAAGCGGCACAGCGAAAGCGUUAAGUAAUCCACCUGGGAGUACGCGGCAACGGUGAAACUCAAGGAUGACGAGGG
rnacentral:rRNA from 1 species